CAGUAGCCGCGGUAAUACGUAGGUGGCAAGCGUUGUCCGGAAUUAUUGGGCGUAAAGCGCGCGCAGGCGGAUCAGUCAGUCUGUCUUAAAAGUUCGGGGCUUAACCCCGUGAGGGGAUGGAUACUGCUGAUCUAGAGUAUCGGAGAGGAAAGUGGAAUUCCCAGUGUAGCGGUGAAAUGCGUAGGUAUUAGGAAGAACACCAGUGGCGAAGGCGACUUUCUGGACGAAAACUGACGCUGAGGCGCGAAAGCCAGGGGAGCGAACGGGACUAGAUACCCCAGUAGUCCCUGUCUCUUAUACA
rnacentral:rRNA from 1 species